GUUAAGGCGCUCUGGCCGAGGAUAAAACCGCCGCCCCCCUGUGUUACCCCCUCCGGGGCACACGUUAAAGACCGCUCCGCCUUUGUGAGUCCUAAACCGKUGCGAAACGAAACCACAACCGGUAGCAUUGGAUCCCUUGGCACGUCGUUCGAUGAAGACCGUUGCAAAUUGCGAUAAAGUGAUGUGAUGCGCAAGUCCACCACUUAUACGUGAAUCAUCGAGUUGUUGAACGCACUGCACCGCGCCCUAAACCGGCUGCGGUAUGCCCCUUUGAGCGUCGUUGAACCGUUCGYGAGCCCGGGAUUUGCGUCCCGGCACUCCGAGUUCGGAGUCCUCGGUCCCCCGGACCGCGUUCUCCAAGAUCCAGCACGCCCGCGCCCGCACGGGGCCUCUCAUGCUUGAGUGUGGAGGACCCGCGCGGAGUCCGCGGCGUCGGACGGCGACCUGAGCGUCCGUCGGCAAGCCGCCCUCCUCCGGGGGGGACAGCUACAGAUCACGACCUCAUCGGGGUAGGACGACCCGCUAGACUUAAGCAUAUUAAUCAGCGGAGGAAAAGAAACUAACCAGGAUUCCCUCAGUAACUGCGAGUGAAGCGGGAUCAGCUCAAUGUGUGAAUCUGGCG
rnacentral:rRNA from 1 species